UCUACCUUUUGUUAGCUGCUGUCCUCCGAGGUGGUCACGAUAAAGUGAAACUCCAGCAAAGUGCACGUGAGCGAAAUAAGUUUCUAAUAAUACCAUCAUUCCCACUGACGACGGAGUACCAUCGACGGGAAAAGCAUUAGAGGUCUAGUGUUCCACACGAUCGGUGUGCGACACACCCAACGCCAUUGCUGGACGUGCAUCUUCCAUCUAACAUUCGAAGGGCUACAAAGGAGGCAGCAGCAACACUGGUAAAACGCGGAAAGUGAUCGCCAAUCGAAGGUGAUCUAGUCAUCUCGAACGACAAGAAGGGCUCUCAAAAGAGGGCCCUAUUGUUGAGAUUGCUGACUUCUACAACAGUCUGUCGCACGUGACCAACUCGGCUGGCACACGAUUGUACAUCGCAUGGUCAUUGGAUGCGGCCAUUCAUCGCAUCGGAGACAAAUCUCGGCUCGUAGUGAGUGCGACCGAGCACACGGAUCCUGCAUACCGGCACCGGUGGAGACAGGUGUGAGGAGAUUGCAUGCUGCAUUUGUGUCGUGGUGUGAAGAGCGUGGAAAGGGGACGGUCCGAGGAGUGAUAACCGUAUCGAGGUGUAGUUCUGCGUGGGGAAGACGGAUCAUCGUUUGCUUAAGCAUGUGUGAGAGAAUGCAGUCGCAGCAUUAAAGCAACGUCCGAGCAGACGGACCACCAAAUCAAGAACGGAAACCGGCGUGGGGCGCGGGGCGUCGCCAGCUAGUGAGAGGAGAUUCUAGA